CCCCUAGAUGUUCUGGGCCGCACGCGCGCUACACUGAACAGUUCAACAAGUCUUAACCUUGGCCGAUAGGUCUGGGUAAUCUUUGAACGCUGUUCGUGAUUGGGAUAGACCUUUGCAAUUAUGGGUCUUCAACGAGGAAUUCCUAGUAAACGCAAGUCAUCAGCUUGCAUUGAUUACGUCCCUGCCCUUUGUACACACCGCCCGUCGCACCUACCGAUUGAAUGGUCCGGUGAAAUCUCGGGACGGCGGCUUGGUCGCUUGCGACCGACUGCUGAAACUUGAUUAAACCAUAUCAUUUAGAGGAAGGUGAANUCGUAACA
rnacentral:rRNA from 1 species